rnacentral:lncRNA from 1 species
UUUGAGUGUUUUCAAAAUUAAUGGAGGAAAUCAAUGAGAAAAGAGGGAGGACAACACGACGUGUGGUGUUCACUAUUAUUUCCACUCUCACUGCAAAUUUUCAUUUGACUUCCCUUGAUCCUCCAUUCUCCACAAUUUUCUAUCGAAACCUCACCACCAUCUGAACAAGUUAAGAUCUUCCACUUCCUUUCCUCCAUUUUAAAAGAUCACCUUUAUUCAUAGAUCUACACUAACCUUUCAACUAAGACCAUACCAUAAAACUUC